AUCUUUGCCACGGUUUUUGGUUCCGUAUCUCCCUGUCGCUAUGGUGAGAACGGUGAAAAGGGAAUCAGGUGUAAAUCCUGAACAGACCCGCUGCUGUAAAAUCCGUUUCAAAUCUUGAAUAUACCCAAUUAGCCACUGUCCGCAAAGCGGAUGGGAAGGCAUUCAAAGAUGGAUAAGUCAGAAGACCUGCCAAAAAUGAUAUAGUUUU
rnacentral:ncRNA from 2 species